GCCUGUGUGAUGGAAAUGGUAUACAUAGCGGUCUUAGAAACCGUGGCGAAAGCAUGAGGGUUCAACUCCCUCCGCAGGUA
rnacentral:tRNA from 1 species